UGCUGAAAUAGGUUGUCCGGGUCAGCUGUCAGAUGUAUCCCUAGGUAUUUGAGAGAUGAGUGUUCUAUAUGUAUAGUGUGCCUGUCUCUGAUCGCUGCCGUGUCCGCCGCCGCCAGUCCCAGUGGGAGAGCACUAGACUCGGUCAUGUUGACCACGUAUCCCGAGAGUGCUCCAUAGUUCUGCAGGAUCUCGUUUAGAACGAUCAUUGAUUUCGUUGGGCUCGUCAGUGUCAGGAGCACGUCGUCUGCGUAUGCAGACACUAGGAACUCCUGUCCUCCUAAAGUCACUCCUCUCACUCCAGGGUGUCGUCGCAGGGUUUGUAACAGUGGUUCAAGCGACAGAACAAAUAGGAGUGGGGAUAACGGGCACCCCUGUCUCGUGCCGUUGUGUAGCCUAAAGGGUUCGAGGGGGGCUCCCGCGACUUGUAUCUGGGCACGGACGUUACUAUACAUGGCUCUUAUGAGGGUGAUAUACUCCCAAAGUGCUCCAACACAGCGAAUAGGUAUGGCCAUUUAACCCUAUCGAAGGCUUUUUCGGCAUCAAGGGAGACAAUCAGUGUGGGCGUACGUGUGGUGACCUGUCUCCAUAUUAGGGCAAUGUUACGGCGUGUGUUUUCGAACAACUGUCUCCCCGGGAUAAAGCCAACUUGGUCAGCGUCUACAAGUGUCGUUAGGAAAGGGUUCAAUCUGGUCGCCUGCAGUUUUGCUAAUAUCUUCAUGUCGUGAUUGAUUAAUGAUAUGGGUCUAUAGCUCGCUGGUAGGAGCGAAUCCUUUUCGGGUUUAGGUAGUAACACUAUGGUGGCCAGGAACAUGUCUCUAUCGGGUGUUCCCCCUUCCCUUAAUUCUUGAAAUAGUUUGAGUAGGUAGGGAGUGAGGACUUCACAGAACAUUUUAUAAUACCCGCCAUCGAAGCCAUCUGGCCCGGGGGCCUUAUUCCCCUUAAAAGCUGUGAUGGCUUGGUCUAUCUCGUCUUCUGUUAUUUCAGCUGCUAAGGUGUUUAUUGCUUAUUG